rnacentral:rRNA from 1 species
UUACUCCUACGGGACGCAGCAGUGGGGAAUAUUGCACAAUGGGGGAAACCCUGAUGCAGCAACGCCGCGUGAAGGAAGACGGUUUUCGGAUUGUAAACUUCUGUUCUUAGUGAAGAAAAAUGACGGUAGCUAAGGAGCAAGCCACGGCUAACUACGUGCCAGCAGCCGCGGUAUUACGUAGGGGGCAAGCGUUAUCCGGAUUUACUGGGUGUAAAGGGAGCGUAGACGGCCAGACAAGUCUGAAGUGAAAAUCCAGCGCUUAACGUUGGAAGUGCUUUGGAAACUGCCGGGCUAGAGUGCAGGAG